rnacentral:rRNA from 1 species
CCUACGGGAGGCAGCAGUGGGGAAUAUUGCACAAUGGGGGAAACCCUGAUGCAGCGACGCCGCGUGAGUGAAGAAGUACUUCGUUAUGUAAAGCUCUAUCAGCAGGGAAGAAAAUGACGGUACCUGAGUAAGACGCCCCGGCUAACUACGUGCCAGCCGCCGCGGUCAUACGUAGGGGGCAAGCGUUAUCCGGAUUUACUGGGUGUAAAGGGAGCGUAGACGGCAGUGCAAGUCUGGAGUGAAAGGCGGGGGCUCAACCCCCGGACUGCUCUGGAAACUGUACGGCUGGAGUGCAGGAGAGGUAAGUGGAAUUCCUAGUGUAGCGGUGAAAUGCGUAGAUAUUAGGAGGAACACCAGUGGCGAAGGCGGCUUACUGGAUUGUAACUGACGUUGAGGCUCGAAAGCGUGGGGAGCAAACAGGAUUAGAUACCCCUGUAGUC